rnacentral:rRNA from 2 species
AACGACUCUCGACAACGGAUAUCUCGGCUCUCGCAUCGAUGAAGAACGUAGCGAAAUGCGAUACUUGGUGUGAAUUGCAGAAUCCCGUGAACCAUCGAGUCUUUGAACGCAAGUUGCGCCCGAAGCCACUCAGCUGAGGGCACGCCUGCCUGGGUGUCACGCA